UGGGGAAUAUUGCACAAUGGGCGCAAGCCUGAUGCAGCCAUGCCGCGUGUAUGAAGAAGGCCUUCGGGUUGUAAAGUACUUUCAGCGGGGAGGAAGGGAGUAAAGUUAAUACCUUUGCUCAUUGACGUUACCCGCAGAAGAAGCACCGGCUAACUCCGUGCCAGCAGCCGCGGUAAUACGGAGGGUGCAAGCGUUAAUCGGAAUUACUGGGCGUAAAGCGCACGCAGGCGGUUUGUUAAGUCAGAUGUGAAAUCCCCGGGCUCAACCUGGGAACUGCAUCUGAUACUGGCAAGCUUGAGUCUCGUAGAGGGGGGUAGAAUUCCAGGUGUAGCGGUGAAAUGCGUAGAGAUCUGGAGGAAUACCGGUGGCGAAGGCGGCCCCCUGGACGAAGACUGAAGCUCAGGUGCGAAAGCGUGGGGAGCAAACAGG
rnacentral:rRNA from 1 species